GCUGGGUGUGGUGGCGCACACCUGUAAUCCCAGCGGCUCAGGAGGUUGAGGCAGGAGGAUCAUAAAUUCAAAGCCAGCCUCAGCAACAGUGAGGUGCUAAGCAACUCAGUGAGAGCCUGUCUCUA
rnacentral:sRNA from 1 species